rnacentral:rRNA from 1 species
UACGGGGGGGGCAAGCGUUGUUCGGAAUUACUGGGCGUAAAGGGUUUGUAGGUGGCUUGUUAAGUCAGACGUGAAAUCCCUCAGCUUAACUGGGGAACUGCGUCUGAUACUGGCGAGCUUGAGUGCAGGAGAGGAACGCGGAAUUCCAGGUGUAGCGGUGAAAUGCGUAGAUAUCUGGAGGAACACCGGUGGCGAAGGCGGCGUUCUGGACUGCAACUGACACUGAGGCGCGAAAGCUAGGGGAGCAAACGGG